rnacentral:rRNA from 1 species
UCGGGAAUUUUGGGCAAUGGGCGAAAGCCUGACCCAGCAACGCCGCGUGAAGGAUGAAGUAUUUCGGUAUGUAAACUUCGUAAGAAUAGGAAGAAUAAAUGACGGUACUAUUUGUAAGGUCCGGCUAACUACGUGCCAGCAGCCGCGGUAAUACGUAGGGACCAAGCGUUGUUCGGAUUUACUGGGCGUAAAGGGCGUGUAGGCGGCAUGACAAGUCACUUGUGAAAUCUCUGGGCUUAACCCAGAACGGCCAAGUGAUACUGUCGCGCUAGAGUGCAGAAGGGGCAAUCGGAAUUCUUGGUGUAGCGGUGAAAUGCGUAGAUAUCAAGAGGAACACCUGAGGUGAAGACGGGUUGCUGGGCUGACAUUGACGCUGAGGCGCGAAAGCCAGGGGAGCAAACGGGAUUAGAUACCCCUGUAGUCCCUGAGCGGGCUGGCAAGGCGCAU